rfam:Oryza nivara chromosome 3, whole genome shotgun sequence.
AAGAAGGCAAACUCUGAGUUUCCGUGCCAACGUUUGAUUGUCCGUCUUAUAUGAAAUUUUUUUAUAAUUAGUAUUUUCAUUGCUGUUAGAUGAUAAAACAUGAUUAAUACUUUAUGCGUAACUUAUUUUUUUAAUUUUUUUCGUAAUUUUUUUAAAUAAUACGAUCAAACGUUGUACACGGAAAUGAGGGUU